rnacentral:rRNA from 1 species
UAUUGGUCAAUGGGCUUACGCCUGAACCAGCCAAGUCGCGUGAGGGAAGACUGCCCUAUGGGNUGUAAACCUCUUUUGUCAGGGANNCCNNNCNGCUACGUGUAGCCGGACUGAGAGUACCUGAAGAAAANNNANCNGCUAACUCCGUGCCAGCAGCCACGGUAAUACGGAGGAUGCGAGCGUUAUCCGGAUUUAUUGGGUUUAAAGGGUGCGUAGGCGGAAUGCCAAGUCAGCGGUAAAAUCGCGGGGCUCAACCUCGCUCCGCCGUUGAAACUGGCGUUCUUGAGUGGGCGAGAAGUAUGCGGAAUGCGUGGUGUAGCGGUGAAAUGCAUAGAUAUCACGCAGAACUCCGAUUGCGAAGGCAGCAUACCGGCGCCCAACUGACGCUGAAGCACGAGAGCGUGGGUAUCGAACAGG